AUACGUAGGGGGCAAGCGUUAUCCGGAUUCAUUGGGCGUAAAGCGCGCGUAGGCGGUCUGUUAGGUCGGAAGUCAAAUCCGGGGGCUCAACCUCCGUUCGCUUCCGAUACCGGCAGACUUGAGUUUGGUAGGGGAAGGUGGAAUUCCCAGUGUAGCGGUGGAAUGCGCAGAUAUUGGGAAGAACACCGGUGGCGAAGGCGGCCUUCUGGGCCAUAACUGACGCUGAGGCGCGAAAGCUAGGGGAGCGAACAGGAUUAGAUACCCUGGUAGUCCUAGCCGUAAACGAUGGACACUAGGUGUGGGGAGAUGUUCUCUCCGUGCCGCAGCCAACGCAUUAAGUGUCCCGCCUGGGGAGUACGACCGCAAGGUUAAA
rnacentral:rRNA from 1 species